UACAGAGGGGGCAAGCGUUGUUCGGAAUUACUGGGCGUAAAGGGCGCGUAGGCGGCCAUCUAAGUCAGACGUGAAAUCCCCCGGCUCAACCUGGGAACUGCGUCUGAUACUGGGAGGCUAGAGUUUGGGAGAGGGAUGUAGAAUUCCAGGUGUAGCGGUGAAAUGCGUAGAUAUCUGGAGGAAUACCGGUGGCGAAGGCGGCAUCCUGGACCAAUACUGACGCUGAGGCGCGAAAGCUAGGGGAGCAAACGGG
rnacentral:rRNA from 1 species